rnacentral:rRNA from 1 species
UACGAAGGGGGCUAGCGUUGCUCGGAAUUACUGGGCGUAAAGCGCCCGUAGGCGGCUUUCUAAGUCGGGGGUGAAAUCCUGGAGCUCAACUCCAGAACUGCCUUCGAUACUGGAAAGCUCGAGUCCGGGAGAGGUGAGUGGAACUGCGAGUGUAGAGGUGAAAUUCGUAGAUAUUCGCAAGAACACCAGUGGCGAAGGCGGCUCACUGGCCCGGUACUGACGCUGAGGUGCGAAAGCGUGGGGAGCAAACAGG